UGGGAUAACCUGCCGAAAGGCAGACUAAUACCGCAUAGUCUUCGAUGACGGCAUCAGAUUUGAAGUAAAGAUUUAUCGGUAAUGGAUGGGGAUGCGUCUGAUUAGCUUGUUGGCGGGGUAACGGCCCACCAAGGCGACGAUCAGUAGGGGUUCUGAGAUGAAGAUCCCCCACAUUGGAACUGAGACACGGUCCAAACUCCUACGGGAGGCAGCAGCA
rnacentral:rRNA from 1 species